rnacentral:rRNA from 1 species
UGGGGAAUAUUGCACAAUGGGCGAAAGCCUGAUGCAGCGACGCCGCGUGCGGGAUGAAGGCCUUCGGGUUGUAAACCGCUUUUGAUUGGGAGCAAGCGAGAGUGAGUGUACCUUUCGAAUAAGCACCGGCUAACUACGUGCCAGCAGCCGCGGUAAUACGUAGGGUGCAAGCGUUAUCCGGAAUUAUUGGGCGUAAAGAGCUCGUAGGCGGUUUGUCGCGUCUGGUGUGAAAGUCCAUCGCUUAACGGUGGAUCUGCGCCGGGUACGGGCAGGCUAGAGUGCGACAGGGGAGACUGGAAUUCCCGGUGUAACGGUGGAAUGUGUAGAUAUCGGGAAGAACACCAAUGGCGAAGGCAGGUCUCUGGGUCGUCACUGACGCUGAGGAGCGAAAGCGUGGGGAGCGAACAGGAUUAGAUACCCUGGUAGUCCACGCCGUAAACGGUGGAUGCUGGAUGUGGGGCCCAUUCCACGGGUUCCGUGUCGGAGCUAACGC